AUGCAGUCGAGGGGUAUAGGUUUUCGGAUCUAGAGACCGGCGCACGGGUGCGUAACGCGUAUGCAAUCUACCUUUUACAGAGGGAUAGCCCAGAGAAAUUUGGAUUAAUACCUCAUAGUAUUAUGAAAUGGCAUCAUUUUAUAAUUAAAGUCACAACGGUAAAAGAUGAGCAUGCGUCCCAUUAGCUAGUUGGUAAGGUAACGGCUUACCAAGGCAACGAUGGGUAGGGGUCCUGAGAGGGAGAUCCCCCACACUGGUACUGAGACACGGACCAGACUCCUACGGGAGGCAGCAGUGAGGAAUAUUGGACAAUGGGCGCAAGCCUGAUCCAGCCAUGCCGCGUGCAGGAUGACGGUCCUAUGGAUUGUAAACUGCUUUUGUACGAGAAGAAACACUACUUCGUGAAGUAGCUUGACGGUAUCGUAAGAAUAAGGAUCGGCUAACUCCGUGCCAGCAGCCGCGGUAAUACGGAGGAUCCAAGCGUUAUCCGGAAUCAUUGGGUUUAAAGGGUCCGUAGGCGGUUUAGUAAGUCAGUGGUGAAAGCCCAUCGCUCAACGGUGGAACGGCCAUUGAUACUGCUAGACUUGAAUUAUUAGGAAGUAACUAGAAUAUGUAGUGUAGCGGUGAAAUGCUUAGAGAUUACAUGGAAUACCAAUUGCGAAGGCAGGUUACUACUAAUUGAUUGACGCUGAUGGACGAAAGCGUGGGUAGCGAACAGGAUUAGAUACCCUGGUAGUCCACGCCGUAACGAUGGAUACUAGCUGUUGG
rnacentral:rRNA from 1 species